rnacentral:lncRNA from 1 species
CUUGGGUCAUCUGUGAUGCUGCCUACAGUGUACCCCAUGUUUCUCCCAUCCUGUGAGUUGUUUCACCAAUGGCUCAGUCUCAGUUGUAAAUCUGCCUCCUAAAGUCCCUAUUCUGGAGGAGAGAGACACCCAGCUGAAGGUGGACCAGCCAGCACCAUGUUCCUUCCCGUCUCUGGACCAAAAUGAGAAAGAGAAACUGUCUUACUUCCCUCUGCUCUCCAUUUUAUGCUCAUUUUUCCUGGUUUAGUUAGACCCUCGGGGUUAACAUGGAUUUUAAAAAUUCCUAGUCCCCACUGAAUGCCCGACUUCUCUUGGCAAUGUCUCUAGUAAGAGGUCAUCUUGCCCCCUCCCCCAGUUCGACCCCUCUAGGAUCUCAGGAAUGUCUUAUUGCCCCUUCCUUCUCCCUCUCGCCCUUCCAUGAAUAUUCAUCGACUACUAGCUCUGUGCAGGGAGCAAAAGACUGAGCCCCUGCCCAUAUAUUUGAUGCUGUAGAUUUGAUGCUGUAAAGCUCUUCCUUUGUCAGCUCCUGAUCUGCUGCCAAGGCAAGCCAAGCCUGUUCUUGGUCUAGGCAGGAAGGGGAAUUGUGGUGGUGAACUUGUCACUACUCCCCUUCAAGGUCAAUCAUGUCCUGCUCUCACAUCUAGACCAGUGUAGGCAUCAGGAAAGGAAAAACAGUUGAGAUGGCAUCUCACUCCUCUUUAAUCAGUCUGGUUGCUAUAAGUGGCCUCCAAACCCAUUUUACAAGACAAUUGAUGUCUAAAACACUCCAACCAUGGCCACCUCUACGCUGUAUUUAUCUCCAAAUCAAAUUAAGUAUCCGAUGUGUGUUCAGAAGGGAUUGCUUUUAUUAUAUGGGACACACAUUGUCACAUGAUGUUGAAGAGUGUUAUCA